GGGGGGUCUCCAUGCUGACAGUGAACCAUGUUUACAUUAUUGUUCCCUCAUUAUGUUUUUUGAGGGGGCAGUUACCCCCCAACCUCGUUACCCCUGGUUCCUACGCCACUGAUUAUACAGGAGUUUGAUGUGUGGCAGUCCAUAGGCACCUGCAUCCUCAGACGCCAGCUGCCUAAUCUCGUCAGAUAUGCUGACCUCCAAAGAAGCCAUGAUGAAACUCCUGCAACACCAAAUAUGGUUAUAAUGCAAAUUGGUGGUGGUGACAAUGAUGAUGAUGAUGAAAAUAAUGCGAGUGCGCUUGUGAAGUGCCGAGGUGCCAGGCCCGUUGACCAGACAACUAGCCCACAAGGAAUCACCUCUCCAUCUUUGAGCUUGACAGAGCAUAGGAUUGGAGCCGUUUGUCAAAAGCCCCAAGAAUCUGAUUUGAUUCAACCAGAGUCACUUGGACUUGCUUUUGCUGUUCUCUGUACAGUCUUGCAACAUCCUGGAUGAAAGAAAGUGAUCCUUUAUUUUC